UUGGAUAGAUAACGGCGGCAGUAAACCUCACGGUCCUAAG
rnacentral:rRNA from 1 species